CUGACCUGCCCAGUGAUUAAUUUAACGGCCGCGGUAUAUUGACCGUGCAAAGGUAGCAUAAUCAUUAGUCUUUUAAUAGAGGGCUGGAAUGAAAGGUUUAACGAGGAACUGACUGUCUCAUUUUAUUUGUUUUAAAAUUUAAUUUUUUAGUUAAAAAGCUAAAAUUUCAUUGGAAGACGAGAAGACCCUAUAGAUCUUUAUAGAUAUAUAUUUAGUUAUUAUUAUAUAAAUAUGACUAUUUAUAAUUCUAUUUUGUUGGGGUGACAAGAAUAUAAAAUCAACUUUUUUAUUUAUUUAACAUUGAUUUAUGAUUAUAUGAUCCAUUAUUAGUGAUUAUUAGAUGAAGUUACCUUAGGGAUAACAGCGUAAUCCUCCUCCAGAGUUCAUAUUUACAGGAUGGGCUUGCGACCUCGAUGUUGGAUUAAGAUGAUAAUUAGGUGUAGCAGCUUAAUGUAUAGGUCUGUUCGACCUUUAA
rnacentral:rRNA from 1 species